GCGCCUGUAGCUCAGUGGAUAGAGCGGCGGAUUUCUAAUCCGCGGGUCGCUGGUUCGAUUCCAGCCAGGCGCG
rnacentral:tRNA from 1 species